GAUGAAGAACGCAGCGAAAUGCGAUAAGUAAUGUGAAUUGCAGAAUUCAGUGAAUCAUCGAAUCUUUGAACGCACAUUGCGCCCGCCAGUAUUCUGGCGGGCAUGCCUGUCUGAGCGUCAUUUCAACCCUCAUGCCCCUAGGGCGUGGUGUUGGGGAUCGGCCAAAGCCCGCGAGGGACGGCCGGCCCCUAAAUCUAGUGGCGGACCCGUCGUGGCCUCCUCUGCGAAGUAGUGAUAUUCCGCAUCGGAGAGCGAUGAGCCCCUGCCGUUAACCCCCAACUUUCCAAGGUUGACCUCAGAUCAGGUAGGAAUACCCGCUGAACUUAAGCAUAUCAAUAGCGGAGGA
rnacentral:misc_RNA from 1 species